rnacentral:rRNA from 1 species
AUGAACGCUAGCGGCAGGCUUAAUACAUGCAAGUCGAGGGGCAGCAGGGGUGUAGCAAUACACUCGCUGGCGACCGGCAAACGGGUGCGGAACACGUACGCAACUUACCCAAAACUGGGGAAUAGCCCGGGGAAACCCGGAUUAAUACCUCGUAACAUAAUGGAGUGGCAUCACUUUAUUAUUAUAGCUCCGGCGGUUUUGGAUGGGCGUGCGCCUGAUUAGGUAGUUGGCGGGGUAACGGCCCACCAAGCCUACCGAUCAGUAACUGGUGUGAGAGCACGACCAGUCACACGGGCACUGAGACACGGGCCCGACUCCUACGGGAGGCAGCAGUAAGGAAUAUUGGUCAAUGGACGCAAGUACUGAACCAGCCAUGCCGCGUGGAGGAUUAA